AUACGGAGGAUCCGAGCGUUAUCCGGAUUUAUUGGGUUUAAAGGGAGCGUAGAUGGGUUGUUAAGUCAGUUGUGAAAGUUUGCGGCUCAACCGUAAAAUUGCAAUUGAUACUGGCAGCCUUGAGUACAGUUGAGGUAGGCGGAAUUCGUGGUGUAGCGGUGAAAUGCUUAGAUAUCACGAAGAACUCCGAUUGCGAAGGCAGCCUACUAAACUGCCACUGACAUUGAUGCUCGAAAGUGUGGGUAUCAAACAGGAUUAGAUACCCUGGUAGUCCACACGGUAAACGAUGAAUACUCGCUGUUUGCGAUAUACAGCAAGCGGCCAAGCGAAAGCGUUAAGUAUUCCACCUGGGGAGUACGCCGGCAACGGUGAAACUUAAAGGAAUUGACGGGG
rnacentral:rRNA from 1 species